GGGCAGCGUGGGGGCAGAGGCUGGCCCUCCUGAUCUGCACCCAGGCGGCUUCUACACCACCCUGCAGCAGGCCUGGCCACCGGCCUCAGCGCUUCUGGGAGAAGCAGGCAGAUGAGCCCUGGGACCCAGCUGGCCAACCCACCUGACCACGGUGACAAGGACUGCUUGGGAAGGAUAAGCCCAGGUUCGGGAAAGCAAAUUCAGGCUGCAGGACAGCUGCCCGGGCCCCCCACAAGCCUGGCACCAGCCCAGGGAAGACUGAGGAGCCUCACUCCAUGGGGACUGAGCUCCUUCCCUUGCGUUCUGUUCCACACACUUUUUGGGCUGGAAGAAUCCCCUGGCUAGAGAAGCUCAUGUCCUGGUGGUGGAAGAGAUGCCGCCCUACAGCCCAAGGCCUUAUGCAAAGCAGCAAACACCUGAACACAGCGAACCUGAAGGUAUAGGGCAUCUUCAGGCUGCUACUGAGGCGGUCCUGCCGCACUCAACCCAGAACCUCAUCACUAAAAGGAACCUCAUGGUUCAGGCUAGAGUGCAGUGGCGCGAUCUCGGCUCACUGAAACCUCCGCCUCCCAGGUUCAAGCAAUUCUCCUGCUUCAGCCUCCCAAGUAGCUAGGAGUACAGGAGCUGCCAAAAAGCUUUCAGCUGCUGCAUUGGCCGGGAAUCGAACCCGGGCCUCCCGCGUGGCAGGCGAGAAUUCUACCACUGAACCACCAAUGCUCCAGCUGAGUGCUGUUCUGCCUCCAGCUGUUUUGUUGCUCUGAUUCACAGUGGUGAUGGCACAGCUGUAACCUGACACCUGAGAUGGGUCCAGCAUGGACAGCUGCUGGAUUUUACCAGCCAAACCUAUGGGAGGAGGUGGGGCAUGCAUGCUUGACAUUCUGCUCAGCUGUUCAAAAGAAAAGUCCAUGAAUGGCAAUGGGAGAAUGCUCAGCAAUUCUUUUGGCUCCUGUGGGCAGGUUCCAGACCUUACUCUGUUAUCCUUAAAGAUCUGAGUAGGCUUAGUCUUCCCUAUAAAAAAUUUCUUGACAAAUUAGCUGAAACUGUCAUUCACUUGUUUCUCUUGUUUUAUGGCCUUGUGGGUUAUUCUACUGAAUGCUGUGAUUUCUUUUACCACUGGUUGAUUUGUCUUGUUUUGCUGUCUUGCCUCCUUGACUAGACUGUAAGCCUCUGGAGCACAAGGACUUUGUCUGGUAAACACAGCUUGAUGUAUAACAGAUGUUUGCUAAAUGUUAGAUUUGUAAUAAAUGGAAUUUAACUAGAAAAAAAAAUCUGAGUAGGUUAUAUCUCAGUUUACUCUGGCUGCUUCGGCAAAGGAGGACAUCAACCCAAAGCUGAUCAGUGACCUCUUGGUGAGGACAGAGACCCAAGAAAUAUGAAAGCAUCAGGGUUCUAGAUUACAUCUGGAGUCAAAUUCCAGAUGCCAGUCGGCAUAAAUGUGGUUUCUUUUUUCUUUUUUUUUUGAGAUAGGGUCUUUCUCUGUUGCCUAGGUUGGAAUACAGUGGUGUGAUCAUAGCUCACUGCAACUUCUGCCUCCUGGGCUCCUGGGCUCAAGUGAUCCUCCCGCUUCAGCUUCCUGAGGAGCUGGGACUAUAGGUGUGCACCACCAUAUCUGGC
rnacentral:lncRNA from 1 species